rnacentral:rRNA from 1 species
GACGAACGCUGGCGGCGUGCUUAACACAUGCAAGUCGAACGGAAAGGCCCUGCUUUUGUGGGGUGCUCGAGUGGCGAACGGGUGAGUAACACGUGAGUAACCUGCCCUUGACUUUGGGAUAACUUCAGGAAACUGGGGCUAAUACCGGAUAGGAGCUCCUGCUGCAUGGUGGGGGUUGGAAAGUUUCGGCGGUUGGGGAUGGACUCGCGGCUUAUCAGCUGGUUGGUGGGGUAGUGGCUUACCAAGGCUUUGACGGGUAGCCGGCCUGAGAGGGUGACCGGCCACAUUGGGACUGAGAUACGGCCCAGACUCCUACGGGAGGCAGCAGUGGGGAAUAUUGCACAGUGGGCGGAAGCCUGAUGCAGCAACGCCGCGUGCGGGAUGACGGGCUUCGGGUUGUAAACCGCUUUCGCCUGUGACGAAGCGUGCGUGACGGUAAUGGGUAAAGAAGCACCGGCUAACUACGUG